rnacentral:rRNA from 1 species
GUCGAGCGGACCGACGGGAGCUUGCUCCCUUAGGUCAGCGGCGGACGGGUGAGUAACACGUGGGUAACCUGCCUGUAAGACUGGGAUAACUCCGGGAAACCGGGGCUAAUACCGGAUGCUUGAUUGAACCGCAUGGUUCAAUUAUAAAAGGUGGCUUUUAGCUACCACUUACAGAUGGACCCGCGGCGCAUUAGCUAGUUGGUGAGGUAACGGCUCACCAAGGCAACGAUGCGUAGCCGACCUGAGAGGGUGAUCGGCCACACUGGGACUGAGACACGGCCCAGACUCCUACGGGAGGCAGCAGUAGGGAAUCUUCCGCAAUGGACGAAAGUCUGACGGAGCAACGCCGCGUGAGUGAUGAAGGUUUUCGGAUCGUAAAACUCUGUUGUUAGGGAAGAACAAGUACCGUUCGAAUAGGGCGGUACCUUGACGGUACCUAACCAGAAAGCCACGGCUAACUACGUGCCAGCAGCCGCGGUAAUACGUAGGUGGCAAGCGUUGUCCGGAAUUAUUGGGCGUAAAGCGCGCGCAGGCGGUUUCUUAAGUCUGAUGUGAAAGCCCCCGGCUCAACCGGGGAGGGUCAUUGGAAACUGGGGAACUUGAGUGCAGAAGAGGAGAGUGGAAUUCCACGUGUAGCGGUGAAAUGCGUAGAGAUGUGGAGGAACACCAGUGGCGAAGGCGACUCUCUGGUCUGUAACUGACGCUGAGGCGCGAAAGCGUGGGGAGCGAACAGGAUUAGAUACCCUGGUAGUCCACGCCGUAAACGAUGAGUGCUAA